rnacentral:rRNA from 1 species
UACAGAGGUCUCAAGCGUUGUUCGGAUUCAUUGGGCGUAAAGGGUGCGUAGGUGGCGCGCUAAGUCGGGUGUGAAAUUUCGAGGCUUAACCUCGAAACUGCAUUCGAUACUGGCGUGCUUGAGGACUGGAGAGGAGACUGGAAUUCAUGGUGUAGCAGUGAAAUGCGUAGAGAUCACGAGGAAGACCAGUGGCGAAGGCGGGUCUCUGGACAGUUCCUGACACUGAGGCACGAAGGCCAGGGGAGCAAACGGG